GUUUUGUUUGUUUGUUUGGUUGGUUGGUUGGUUGGUUUUUGCAAAACAGUGUUUCUCUGUGUAGCUCUGGCUGUCCUGGAACUCACUCAGUAGACCAUGCUGGCCUCAAACUCAGAAAUCUGCCUGCUUCUGCCUCCCAAGUGCUUGGAUUAAAAGUGUGGGCCACCACCGCCAGGCAUGUUUUUUCAAGAAUAUUUAUUUUUGUAAGAAGUCAAUUAUUGGUUCCUUUUAAAUGCUGCACUGCUCUUGUUUCCAUUCUGUGAUGUUUCACAGGCAUAAGAAUUUCUUUCCAUUUUUUUUUACAAGUCCUGCUUAGGACAAGGUCUCCUGAAGCCCAAGCUCACGCCAUGUAAUUGAGAAUUUCCUUGAACAUCUAAUCCUGAUUCUAAAGCCACAUGAUGGGAAGACAGUCCUGCAUGCUUUCUAGGCUAGGCUUUGAAGGUGAAAGUUUUCCUGCUAUGGCUUUACUUGACAUUAGCAAUGAAUAGUGAGGUCACCAAAUUUCCAUCUUGAUAGUCACCUUGACUGGCCAUUACUCUGGUCUGCAGCCCAGGCAAUUAAGAAUCUGCAUAAAAAUUGAACUUCCUGUCAACUGUUGUUGCCACCAAUGCAAUUAUUUCAAAUGACUGUAGUUACAAGAUUUCAGUUACCUAAAACCAAACAGAUGGGCACUGUGAGGGGUUUUUAUCAUUUUCAACAUUUAAUAUAGGAAAACCCUUCUUUAAUCUGGAGAUUUUGAUUGAGAAGAAAAAAAAUUAAUCUAGGCCAGAACUUCUGCUGUGACCCUACAUAUAUAAAGGAUAUUGAAGAUGGUAGUUCUUUUUGUUUCUCUUCUUCCCACACACUAGCUUGCAAGGUCUUUUUAUUUUUCUGGCAUCAAGGUUCCAUCUUUGGAAUUCUGUUGACUGCUGAACACCAGCUGAGACGUAUAGACACUACUAUUUUCUUCAACUCUCCAUUGGUACAGCCAUUGAUUUAUUAGUGGGGCCACAUUCUGUGAGCCAUUCUUAUCUCUCCACUUUCUGAAUACUUAGAGAGAUCCAUGCUCUGAGUUCUGUUCAUCUGGAAAACCUUUACUAAUACAGAUAUGUUUUUUCACCUUCCCAUGUAUGAAGACGUGCUGGCUAACAAUAGUGCUCCAUAGUGAUUGGCAUCCAUCCCCUGCUUUUCUCCUAGGGUUGUUUGGAGUCUCAUCUGUAGCAAUUGCAUAUUAGCAGCGGUUUUCCUGAUGUCACUGUAAAAUCAGAGAAGCAAACAAAACAUUUUGUGUCCUAAAAUCCCUCUUUAAUUGUAAAUAUCCUUGGACCCUCUACUUCACUCUGCUCCAAGUUCAGUAAUGUACUGUGCAAGGUGUGGCUCUUGAUUCCCCUGAGGAGAAAGGGCCGGAGCGAGGAGGAGAAUAGGUGGCAGCCUUGAAGGAGCAAGAAGAAAUUCCUGCUGAGUCCUGCAUGACAGGAAGAUAGACUAUUGGAGGACAGGACUGAAAGAAAGUCUUGCAGAUCUGAAAAGGGUCAGCUCCUGGAUAAGAAACCGCAGCUGGGAAGCCCAAUGCUGUAUGUCUACAGAGCACUCUAACCCUAAGGGAGGUGAUCACGUCAAUCAAGAUUCACUUGCCAAUCAAGGCCUCUGUUUAGGCCCGCCAAUAGAAGUAGAGGCGUGUUCUUCCGUGUGGCAUGUUUCUCUGCGCUCUGUGCUCUCCUUUGGGAGCCGGCUGAAUGAUUGGUCUGAUUUGUUUUGAUCUCUGCUGCCAGGAGCCUUAGGGAAUUGCCAGCGAUCUACAACUUGGCAACAUGCUUUGCAGCUGAAGCUGACCUGCCCCAGUUCCCCUGUGGCAAGGCUGGAAGCUGAUUUCUCUACUAUUUAGUGCCUCCUCUUAAAAAGGAAGGGGAUUAAGUGAGUAGCUUUUGUUCUAUCUCCAGUGAAAUUGGGAUACUCUUAACUUCCAGGUGUUAGUUGAAGUCACUGGAAGAAAAGUGGAACACUUUUGAACAUGUCUUUAAUCUUUAUUUUCAAGUUCUUCUAAAAAGUUUCCUAUGAAAGUUCUCUAAGGAAAGGGAGUGGGUGAUUAAGUAAAGGAGUCAUUGCUAGAGCCUUUCCCUCUUGUCCAGAUGCCUCUUGCUUGCUAAGCUUGGGGGAAGUUUGGAGCAAUAAACUUCUCUUAAACCAGAAGAGAGCCACCUUCACAGAAGGAAAGUCUUUUACACAAGCAAAUAUGGAUAAAUUCACAUAAAUUCAUAUACGAAUUCAUACACUUUUGAGAGGUUAGUUUGAUCCAAUGUAUUUUGAAUUUCCAACUGGAGGGGACUCCUUUGCAGAUAUGUCCAAUCCACUUGCACAGUUACUUCAGCUCAGAGUGUUGAGAAGCUGUGUGUUAGGUUACAUCUCUCAGCAGCUAACAUUGCACAUAGGGGUGCGGUCAAACUGUAUCUUCUUAUGCUGUUCUCACUGCCAGGGAAUGGCCUACACUUUUACAAGAUCACUCUCCUAAUAAUCAGACCAAUGCCAAAUGGCUUCUCAGCUCUCCUAUACAAGAUUCUGAUGCUAGGAAUAUUUUCUCAAAGGCGCUAUCUAUUAUACCUUUAAUAUGUAUGAUACAUUGUAGUGUGAUUAGGGAAUCGAAGUCAGCUGGGCAUCUGAAUUAGACCCUGUCUCAAACACAGGAAAUAAUCAGGAUUGUAUUUGUGAUAGGCUUGCAGACUCCAGUUUUUCUUUCUUUUACAAAUUAAUCUCAAUGAUACAAUUCGAUUCCAAUUUAAAAUCACCUUUUUUUUUUUUUAUAGUUUUGUGAUUUCCACAUCAGAAAUGGAUUCCAGCUUUCCUCGUAUGUUUUGUUAACUGUGUGAUAGUGAACUAAGUUACUAACUGAAAAAGAUUCCACUUUUGUAAGCACAUGCUAUGUACCUAGGCCUUGAACUUGACUAUAAAAGCACACCCCUGCUUUUUAUUGAAUCGAUUUCUCUUUAUUUAUUCAAUUUACAUCCUGCUCACUGCCUUAAUCCCAGUCACCCUGUUUGCCCAAUUCUUCCCCCAGGUCCCCCUCCCCUUUUCCUCUGAGUCGAUGGGCCACAUUGUAUUAAUAGGUUUGGUAGGACUCAUGUAGUAUCUUGGUUUCACAGUAAGUUCAAAUUUUUAUUCAGAUUCUUGAUUGCCUGGUGUGUGGACCCAAAAAAUGGGCCAGUCAGAAUCUUGUCAAUGGUCUAAAAUUGAUUGCAUCACUGUUCAUUCGUAAUACUAUAUACUAUCAAAGCAGAGAAGUUAUCUACUUCCUUUUGUCCUGUCCCUUUCUGGGCUGUGACUACACUACUUUCAAAGUUCCUGAACUAGAUUCCUGAGCAUUGAAGGUGUAUAAUGUGUGCCUUCAGCACAUUCCAACCCCAAGGAGCAUGCUUAUGAAGUGGGCACUUCCCGUGGCUGGGUGGGAACCAGUGUCUGAUGCUCUAAGACAUCUCUCCAGCCCCAAGUUAAACACUUUUAAGAGUUGCCUUAGAUAUUUUGUUUUAUCACCAGCAGCUGAGAUGUCGCUGGUACAUAGCCAUAACCUUUUACACCUGAAUGAGUUAUUUCAUGGAAUUAAAGAGAACUGUGAAAUCUAAACAGGUUGCCUUAUCAAUGAAAUUCAUAGGUUUCUUUCCAUGAGUUUGCAAAUACAGAAACAACAGAAAGGGACAUCAGUAUACUUAAGAAGACUCAUGAUACUUGUUAGAGUUUUUCUCAAGAAAAUACAAUCGUGUGGAACUUAACAUAAGCGGGCUAGCUGAAGAUCAUACCACAUUCUCUGUAGUCUUAGAGUUCCUUCAGUAUUAAUUCUCUCUGGUCCUCAAAGACUUCUGUAUUAUGCAAAGGCUUUGACAGACUGAGUACACUCUCAAAAUUUUCCUUUUAAAAGAGACUAUGAAGUGUUGACAUUUACCACAGUAAGUAUACUUAUAGAUUUUCUUUUAAUUGUUUAUUGGGAGACAUCUCUGUGUCUUUGUGAUAGGAUAUACAAACUGCUUUCCCAGAAGAUUUAAACAUUAGAUCUUCUUUUAGAAGGAAUUAUAAGAAGUUGCCAGGGCUGGAGAGAUGGCUCAGCGGUUAAGAGCACUGACUGCUCUUCCGGAGGUCCUGAGUUCAAAUCCCAGCAACCACAUUGUGGCUCACAACCAUCUGUAAUGGUAUUUGAUGCUCUCUUCUGGUGUGUUUGAAGAUAGCUACAAUGUACUCAUAUAUAUUAAUAAAUGAUUAAAAAAAAAAAAUGGGCUGGUGAGAUGGCUCAGUGGGUAAGAGCACCCGACUGCUCUUCCGAAGGUCAGGAGUUCAAAUCCCAGCAACCACAUGGUGGCUCACAACCAUCCGUAACGAGAUCUGGCUCCCUCUUCUGGAGUGUCUGAAGACAGCUACAGUGUACUUACAUAUAAUAAGUAAAUAAAUAAUUUUAAAAAAAAAAAAUUAAUGCUCAUGCAUGCGUGUGUGUGUGUGUGUGUGUGUGUGCGCGCGCACGCACACACACACACACACACCCCCAAAAAAAAAAAAAAAAAAAAAAAAGAAGUUGCCAAAAAACUUAAUUUGUUCUGGAAAUGAACUUUUCUGUAUGGCUUGUCUAUGUCUAUAGCACUGUAAAUAUUUUCAAGUCUUUUUUAUAUCAUCUUAAUGUCAGUAAAUAGGAAAAUGUUUUACAGUAGAAAAAUCCUAUCCAUGUAAAUGACUUGAUAAAGACUGUAGACAACAGUGUUGUCUUCAAUUUCAAGAGAAAAACAUCUUGUUUCAAAAAACAAUCGUGUUUCAUGUCUUCUUCAUCACAGCCUUGAAGGAAGUAAAUUAUUUACCACAUUCACUCAAGUGCUUUUGGGGAGAUCACCGAUGUGGUUGUUGAAACAUUUGUAGUAGAUAUUAAAGUUUGCUCUGUCUGUGACAAAUCCAUUCAGAGAGAUUGUUUGUCUGUUCCCGUCUUCCUUCUGUGGCUUCUGUUCAUCUUGGAAUAUGCUGUCACCUGGUGAUAGGUAGCUUUCUGCAGCAAUGUAUAGAAUGGGACUCCUAUCAUCUAAGUGCCUCACUGUUUAUACAAAUAUCAGGCUGUUCUUCAUCAUACUUUUCAAGGAAGACUGCUUGUUCGGAGCAGUUUUGCCUGGUAUUGUCAUUCAUAUUUCCACAAAUUACUUUGAGAGUUGUUUUGAGAGAUUAUAUCUACUCCAUCUUGGGACCGUCCUCCAUCUUAAAGAAAAGAAAAAUGGCCUGAGAAGUUGACCUACAGGAGUACCCAAGCUCCACCUGUGUACCAGCAAGGACCCCACUGUUUAUUCUUGGCCAGAGUUCCUCCCUAGCUACUUCCAAGCAGCAGUUAAUCAAAGAUAGUCUGAUUGUUUCAGAUGUACUUUCAGACUUGUGGUGAUUGUAUAUGAUCUUGCCUUAGAGCACCCACCUGUUGGCUUACAAUAGUUAUUCUAAUAGACAUUGGUCAGACUGGACUUCCUCCCUCACCCCCUCACUGGGUUCUAUUGUCCUAUAAAAUCUUGUCCUGCUGAGAUUUGAGGCUCAUCCACCUUUCCUUCCUGUCCUACUGUGUCAGAGUUGGGUUGGAGGAGAGCCCAAGCCUGAGCUUGUAAUUAAGCGACCCUUAUUCUAUUACAUCAGAAAUGGCUCCUUGGUGGUCUUUGGGGUUAAGGAAUGCUUUCUGGCACAGGAACUCCAAGGCCACCAGGACCCAACACAGUAGGUCUCAGUGUCAGUAAUGUCUGUGUCUAUGUGCCUGUGUGGUACCACGAUAAUUCUGUUCUAAAUAAUUCUCUACUUCUGUUCUGAAGAAGCCUAAAACUUUGUAUUUCAUGGAAGAAAUGACAAAAGAGGAUGUGGAAUCUCGCUGUGGCAGAUGUUCUGGUUCCUCAUAGCCAUGGGGUCUUGAGAGAUGUUCCAAGGACCCCAGGGAACAAAGUGCUCCUGGUGUUACUUUCUGGAAAAGACUGAGUGGCUAUGGAACUUCACCAUAUGGUGUCUUGUUCGUUUUUACUCUCUGUCACUUUUGUCCAGUCUGGUUUCUGUUUCUUCUUAAGAGGCAACUUUGAUUUUGAGGGACUGACAAUGUUGAGAUUAGAAAACCCACCCUCUUGACUUAACUUCCCUCCUCAACCUCCCCUGUUCUUUAUGGGGCUGAGAGUCCCAGGCUGAGGAACAACAAUAUGAACUAACCAGUACCCCCAGAGCUCCUUUGGACCGAAUCACCAGUCAAAGAAAACACAUGGUGGUGCUCAUGGCUCCAGUUGCAUAUGUAGAAUAGGAUGGCCUUGUUGGUAAUCACUGGGAGGAGAGGCCCUUAGUUCUGUGAAGGUUCUGUGCCCCAAUAUAGGGGGAUGCCAAGGUCAGGAAGUGGGAGUGGGUGGGUUGAUGAGCAGCGGGAGAAGGGAUAGGGGAUUUUCAUAGGGGAAACUAGGAAAGUGGAUAACUUUUGAAAUGUACAUAAAGAAAUUAUCUAAUUAAGAAAAGAUUAUUUAUUCAUUUAUUUAUUUUGGUUUUUCGAGACAGGGUUUCUCUGUAUAGCCCUGGCUGUCCUGGAACUCACUUUGUAGACCAGGCUGGCCUUGAACUCAGAAAUCCACCUGCCUCUGCCUCCCAAGUGCUGGGAUUAAAGGCGUGCGCCACCACUCCCGGCAAGAAAAGAUUUUUAGAGAUAAUUUUUAAUUGUGUAGAGUGAUUUCCUUAUCAAAACGCAUAUUAAUGCUAGAGCAGCUGUAUUUCCAGCCUAGAAAGAUGUUUUUAGAAAAGCUCACCCACACAUACUCCAUUGUCUUUGAUCCCAGUUGUUGCUCCUGGUAGCAGUAAAAUAUUGUUUUCUUGAUUAAGCUAUAGCUAAAUUCUUAAAUGAACUGCCUGCACCACCACUGAGUUUAAAACUUACUGGUUUGAGUCAUAUCAUCAACUUUCCACUGCAGUAAGGGGAAAGGAUUUGCAUGUGGCGCAUGGCUUCUGCCUUCUGACCAGAGUAGGAC
rnacentral:lncRNA from 1 species